rnacentral:rRNA from 1 species
GAUGAACGCUGGCGGCGUGCCUAAUACAUGCAAGUCGAGCGAACAGACGAGGAGCUUGCUCCUCUGACGUUAGCGGCGGACGGGAGAGUAACACGUGGAUAACCUACCUAUAGGACUGGGAUAACUUCGGGAAACCGGAGCUAAUACCGGAUAAUAUAUUGAACCGCAUGGUUCAAUAGUGAAAGACGGUUUUGCUGUCACUUAUAGAUGGAUCCGCGCCGCAUUAGCUAGUUGGUAAGGUAACGGCUUACCAAGGCAACGAUGCGUAGCCGACCUGAGAGGGUGAUCGGCCACACUGGAACUGAGACACGGUCCAGACUCCUACGGGAGGCAGCAGUAGGGAAUCUUCCGCAAUGGGCGAAAGCCUGACGGAGCAACGCCGCGUGAGUGAUGAAGGUCUUCGGAUCGUAAAACUCUGUUAUUAGGGAAGAACAAAUGUGUAAGUAACUAUGCACGUCUUGACGGUACCUAAUCAGAAAGCCACGGCUAACUACGUG